rnacentral:rRNA from 1 species
CAUGCCGCGUGUGUGAAGAAGGUCUUCGGAUUGUAAAGCACUUUAAGUUGGGAGGAAGGGCAGUAAGUUAAUACCUUGCUGUUUUGACGUUACCGACAGAAUAAGCACCGGCUAACUCUGUGCCAGCCCCCGCGGUGACUGAGCGGGCUGGCAAGGCGCAUA